AUACCUCCUUUAUCUAUCCCCUGUAGCAAAUGAUACACGUUUUCCUGUCCACUAUCUUUCUUUGCAUGGCCACCUGAAUUUUAAUGAGUAUUUCUUUUCCUUUGGUUCACAUAAUGUAGCUUCCUGAACUGUGAGUGACCACCAGCUGCUGGUGGACAAUGCCACACUGACUGGAGUAAAACCCGGCUCCUGACCGAUCUGGCUUCGUGGCUUUAGCUGGCUGAGUGGAGAAGAAAAUUCACGCCACAGCAGUAUCCCACCCCACUCGCGUAGCCUCACUUUUUCAGCCGUUCCCCGGGCAGUGCCACCCCAAAAAGAGCUGCUGUUUCUGCGCCCACUGGUCCUUUUCUCCCCUCUUUGAUCGCCUUGGGAGACAGAGCUGGUGUAGACCGGCGCGCUCGGUCGGACAGCCUUUAGGCACAGAGCUCCACGGGUCCGCGGCGCAGCUCCACCAACGAUGCGCCAGCUUAGCCAAUCCAGCGGGGGUGAGGCGGAACCUUUGAGUUGUCUUUAUUUGCAUUUCUCUAAUGAGCAGUGAUUUAACACUGCUUCGUAUGGCAAUAGAUGGCUAGGGUUUCUUCCCCCUGUUCACACCCUUAACCGCUUCUCCACUGGCUAGACUCUGUCCUUACGCAGCUCAGAGGCGAGGCCUCUAGCAAGCAGAAAAACUCCAUUUCCCAGAGGUCUCUGUAGCCUCCAGGGUCAGCCCACAGCGAGGCCCCACCGCGGUGACUAUGGAAACCGAGACAAGCUGGCUCCGAGGAAAAGAGUCUUCAGGGGAUUGGUGGACAGAGAGGCGCGGCCGGAACAGGCGGGACUAAGACGGUCUGUUAAUAUGUCACUUCCGCAUCUUCGCGGGGCUCUCCCUGUCGUACGGGGCGCGCUUUCGGAACCGUCUCAACUGCGCUCCGAAUUCGGCCUCCUCCUCCGCCGCCGCCGCUGCCAGGGCCCGAGCUCCGCUCCCCCCGGAAGGCAGCUCUGCCUUCUGACAGCCUGAUCCUUAAUGAAAAGGAAAGCAUGGCCCCUGUACUCCUGACUGCCAGGCCCCCCCAGGUGAGUGGCAGUGUGCCCUUCCAGAAGUGCCAAAGCAGUGCUUCAUACGUUGUCUCCCUAUUUCCAUUUCUUUAAUAUGAUUUUUAUUGUUUCCGUGAUUUCUGUCUUUGGCCCCCUCUAUUUGGAGUAUAUUUUUAAUUCAUAUUUCUUUCAUUAGUUACAAUUUUGGUUGUGUUUUGGUGUCUGAAAGUUCAUGUUUAAGAUUUGUCUUUCUGCAUUGUUUGAGUUCUUUGUUUCCUAAUAAGUGAACAGAUUGUAUGAGUACCGUGACAACCUUAGAAGUUUGCAUGCUGGCAAAAAGUCUCUUUCAGAAGUCCCCUUGAGUCUAUUAAAUCUUUUUUUCCCAAUAUUUUAUUUAAACCCACAAUCUCCUCCUUUAACUCUCUUUUGGGUUUGUCAAGUCUGACAGAGAUCUUAAGAUCACCUACAGUUAUUGUCUUCUUAUCUUUCUUUCACCUCAGUUAUAUUUUCCUUAAAGACCUGAGUUGAUGUAAUAAUUCAGUGCAUUACAGCGAUUCUCUAAAGCCAGCCUAACCAUGUGUGUGGGAUGCCACUCAAAUUAAAGAACACACAGAGGUAUCCAAGGAGAAACAGAAAGUUAAUUUAUUAUAUCAAACCUCGAGAUUUGGGCGUCCUUCACCAGAAUACUUUGAUGAAAGGAGACACAGACAGAAACAAAGGACCUGAUCAUAUACCCUAAUGGGCAAAUUCCCCCCCCCUUCCCACCAACUGUCCAUUAUUUGGCUCACAAUCUCACCACAAAACUCUACAUAGAAACAAAUAACAAUAAACAUUAUGCAUAUCUUAGUUACGAACA
rnacentral:lncRNA from 1 species